rnacentral:rRNA from 1 species
AUGGUAUUGGCUUACCGUGGCAGUGACGGUUAACGGGGGAUUAGGGUUCGAUUCCGGAGAGGGAGCCUGAGAAACGGCUACCACAUCUAAGGAAGGCAGCAGGCGCGCAAAUUACCCAAUUCUAACAGUUUGAGAGAGGUAGUAACAAGAAAUAACAAUACAAGGCAGUUAAAAUGCUUUGUAAUUGGAAUGAUAGAAAUUUAAACCCUUUUUAAAGUAUCAAUUGGAGGGCAAGUCUGGUGCCAGCAGCCGCGGUAAUUCCAGCUCCAAUAGCGUAUAUUAAAAUUGUUGCAGUUAAAAAGCUCGUAGUUGAAGUUCUGCUGAAAGUAACCGGUCUGCUUUUAAUAAAAGUGGUAUCUUGGUAUGUAUUUAGCAAUGAUGUCCUUUGAAGUGUUUUUUACUUUAUUGUAAUAAAGCAUAUUCAGGACUUUUACUUUGAGAAAAUUAGAGUGUUUCUAGCAGGCUGACGCUUUGAAUACUGCAGCAUGGAAUAAUAAGAUAGGAUUUUAGUUCUACAUUAUUGGUUUUAAGAGCUAAAUUAAUGAUUGAUAGGGACAGUUGGGGGCAUUUGUAUUUAACUGU